CCCUGGCUGGCUCAGUUGGUGGAACCUGAGACUCUUGAUCUCCAGGUUGUGAGUUCGAGCCCCACGCUGGGUG
rnacentral:tRNA from 1 species